UGUGCACGUGAGAGUGUGCACGUGAGCGUGUGCACGUGAGCGUGUGCACGUGCCAGCAGCCCUCUGGUGGGCAGAUGAACUUUAUGGGUCAAGGUUAACAAGAAGGAUUUAACUGUAGGCUGGAUCCUGAUUUACUGCAAACACCAGUUAUAUUUUAUCAGAGUGAAGAGACCAGAACCAGAACCAGAACCAGAAUCAGAAUCAGAACCACUCUGCAGCUGGCUGCUGUUUCAGCAUUAAUGACUGAAACUGCAGCUUCAGCGUUCGCCACAGAACAGAGCAGAAAACCAAAUUCAGACAUGAAAUGUUCUUCAGGUCAAGCAGAACGUUUCUCUUCCUGUUGGGAUCAAACAGCAACAGGAAGCAGAACUCGGGUCGAGCAGAACCUCCGGGAUAAAAACAAACCCAACAGCUGAAACGUGAUCCGACUGAGAGGAAACCGGGACAUGAGACACCUGAAGGCAGAAGGUCCUAUUUAAAGCAAGGGAGGGAAAACCUCUCCAGCCCACAGGAAGGAGUCGUUUCCAACAAAAACAGUUUCAGUUCCUCAGACGGAUCAGGAAGCCCGCUCAGAUCAGAACCAGAACCUCUGAGGAGGUCCGGAAGAAACGGCACCAGGUCUGAAACCAGGAAUGAAACGGCACCAGGUCUGAAACCAGGAAUGAAACGGCAGCAGGUCUGAAACCAGGAAUGAAACGGCACCAGGUCUGAAACCAGGAAUGAAACGGCAGCAGGUCUGAAACCAGGAAUGAAACGGCACCAGGUCUGAAACCAGGAAUGAAACGGCAGCAGGUCUGAAACCAGGAAUGAAACGGCAUCAGGUCUGAAACCAGGAAUGAAACGGCACCAGGAGGAAACCUGACGGCUCCUGAUUGACCUCCAGUAAUUGAAGCUCUUGGUCGUUUUUACAGAAACAGGUCAGAACCGGAUCAGAACCGGUCGGGUCAGAACCGGUUUGACAUCAGGUGGUGCAGGUUGUCAGAUCGGCGGAGCGUCCAGAGAGAAUCUGAUCGUCACACGUUAACGGGACGAGGUCCGGUCCACAUGGCAACACCCAGAGAACUCGGAGCAGAACCCUGGAUCAUUCAGGUCAAAGGUCACAUGCAAUCCAGUCAGAGAGACGCCUGUCCUGCUACAAACUGUGAAAGACGAAGAUGAGGAUGAGGAUGAGGUCACCUCCAGAUUCUGUUUGAUAAACAGACCAGCAGGCGCUCUGAUUGGACGGGAAACAGCAGCAACGAUUCAGCAGCAACGGUUCAGCAGCAACGGUUCAACAGCAACGGUUCAACAGCAACGGUUCAGCAGCAACGAUUCAGCAGCAACGGUUCAACAGCAACGGUUCAGCAGCAACGAUUCAGCAGCAACGAUUCAGCAGCAACGGUUCAGCAGCAACAAUUCAGCAGCAACGGUUUAACAGCAACGAUUCAGCAGCAACGAUUCAGCAGCAACGGUUCAACAGCAACGAUUCAGCAGCAACGAUUCAGCAGCAACGGUUCAGCAGCAACAAUUCAGCAGCAACGGUUUAACAGCAACGAUUCAGCAGCAACGAUUCAGCAGCAACGGUUCAACAGCAACGAUUCAGCAGCAACGAUUCAGCAGCAACAAUUCAGCAGCAACGGUUUAACAGCAACGGUUCAGCAGCAAUGGACACACACACACAGACACACACACCUCCGACUCCAAACAUCUCUCUGUUUGUAGUAGAUUCACAGCAGAGACCACCAAGGAAGCCCCCCCCCCCCCCCCCUCCCUCAUCAACACCAGGACAAACGUCCCCAGCAGGAAGCAGGAAGCAGGAAGCAGCAGCAGCAGGCUCCUCCCCCCCAUCGGUGAAUCUGAGGCCAGAGACUGAAAACAGGGCCGCUCCAGCUCUGUGAGGGGCCUCAGGGCCCAAACCUGCUGCUGCCCCCUGCAGGAGGAAUCCAAACUUUUCAACUACAGCUGGGCCACAAAAUUCAUUAAUUAAAAAUGCAAAAAAUAAA